GUGAUGUGGACAGGUCCACCUAACUAUCUACCUGUGUACCCAGAUUGGCAACAAUAUCGUCACGUGGCUUUCUUCCGUGACAAUGGAUGUGGAUGGAUGGAAUCUGAAGAUGUGUGGACAGACUAUAUGCGUCCCAAACACCAGGUCCAGUCGUUCAUUGGUCACCCGG
rnacentral:sRNA from 1 species